CGAAAAUAAAACAAAUAUGUUUCCAUAGGGAUGUAAAUUACGCCGUUUUUACAUUUUUAAUAAUUAUCUGUAAACAUUUUUUUUUGAAAAAACCGUUUAAAAGAUUUAUUAAUACAACAAUAAUUACUAAUAUAAAAUGCGUUCAAAAUAAUUAUAAGUUAUAUUUAAAGACGCGGUUAGCGACCGCUGUAGUUGAUGUCUUCCAAUUAUUAUAUAAUAUGUAUUCAGUACGUACGUACAGAAUAUGUGUAAUUGAUAUUGUGAUAAAAAAAAAAAAAAACCAAUAAAAUUGUCUUCCAGGUCUUGUGUACCGAUAUUAUUACCAUAUUCAAUUAAUUCUGGAAAUUAAAAUAUAUUUUUACUAAUAUAUAAUAUUAACGACAAGAAUGUUCGGUCAAUAUUAUGUUUGAGAAAAAAAAAAAUACAAAUAUAUAUAACGAACAGAAAAAAUUGUAUCGUAAAUAAUAAUAAUAUUAUAUAAAAUUAUUAAAAAUUUUAUCG